AGUGAACGCUGGCGGUAGGCCUAACACAUGCAAGUCGAACGGCAGCACAGUAAGAGCUUGCUCUUACGGGUGGCGAGUGGCGGACGGGUGAGGAAUACAUCGGAAUCUACUUUUUCGUGGGGGAUAACGUAGGGAAACUUACGCUAAUACCUCAUACGACCUACGGGUGAAAGCAGGGGAUCUUCGGACCUUGCGCGAUUGAAUGAGCCGAUGUCGGAUUAGCUAGUUGGCGGGGUAAAGGCCCACCAAGGCGACGAUCCGUAGCUGGUCUGAGAGGAUGAUCAGCCACACUGGAACUGAGACACGGUCCAGACUCCUACGGGAGGCAGCAGUGGGGAAUAUUGGACAAUGGGCGCAAGCCUGAUCCAGCCAUACCGCGUGGGUGAAGAAGGCCUUCGGGUUGUAAAGCCCUUUUGUUGGGAAAGACAAGCAGCAGGUUAAUACCCCGCUGUUCUGACGGUACCCAAAGAAUAAGCACCGGCUAACUUCGUG
rnacentral:rRNA from 1 species